rnacentral:rRNA from 1 species
UUUUGGANGGACUCGCGGCNUAUCAGCUUGUUGGUGAGGUNAUGGCUUACCAAGGCGACGACGGGUAGCCGGCCUGAGAGGGUGACCGGCCACACUGGGANUGAGACACGGCCCAGACUCCUACGGGAGGCAGCAGUGGGGAAUAUUGCACAAUGGGCGCAAGCCUGAUGCAGCGACGCCGCGUGAGGGAUGACGGCCUUCGGGUUGUAAACCUCUUUCAGUAGGGAAGAAGCGAAAGUGACGGUACCUGCAGAAGAAGCGCCGGCUAACUACGUGCCAGCAGCCGCGGUAAUACGUAGGGCGCAAGCGUUAUCCGGAAUUAUUGGGCGUAAAGAGCUCGUAGGCGGUUUGUCGCGUCUGCCGUGAAAGUCCGGGGCUCAACUCCGGAUCUGCGGUGGGUACGGGCAGACUAGAGUGAUGUAGGGGAGACUGGAAUUCCUGGUGUAGCGGUGAAAUGCGCAGAUAUCAGGAGGAACACCGAUGGCGAAGGCAGGUCUCUGGGCAUUAACUGACGCUGAGGAGCGAAAGCAUGGGGAGCGAACAGGAUUAGAUACCCUGGUAGUCCAUGCCGUAAACGUUGGGCACUAGGUGUGGGGGACAUUCCACGUUUUCCGCGCCGUAGCUAACGCAUUAAGUGCCCCGCCUGGGGAGUACGGCCGCAAGGCUAAAACUCAAAGGAAUUGACGGGGGCCCGCACAAGCGGCGGAGCAUGCGGAUUAAUUCGA